CAAUAGCGUAUAUUAAAGUUGUUGCAGUUAAAAAGCUCGUAGUUGGAUUUGUGGCGUACGGUGUGUUCCGGGCACUUGUUGUCUGAGUAACCUGCUGUUGCCAUCCUUGGGUGGAACCUGUGUGGCAUUAGGUUGUCGUGCAGGGGAUGCCCAUCAUUUACUGUGAAAAAAUUAGAGUGUUCAAAGCAGGCUUAUGCCGUUGAAUAUAUUAGCAUGGAAUAAUGAGAUAGGACUUUUUUGCUAUUUUGUUGGUUUGCGCAAGAAGGUAAUGAUUAAUAGGGACAGUUGGGGGUAUUCGUAUUCCAUUGUCAGAGGUGAAAUUCUUGGAUUUUUGGAAGACGAACUACUGCAAAAGCAUUUACCAAGGAUGUUUUCAUUAA
rnacentral:rRNA from 1 species